rnacentral:tRNA from 1 species
UUUGAUAUCCUGCUAUCAGGGUUUGCGUUUCGGCCGCAAAUUUGGAGAAAUUGGUCUUCUGUCAAAG